UGGCGAGUUUGAUCCUGGCUCAGAGCGAACGCUGGCGGCGUACUUAACACAUGCAAGUCGAACGAGGAGCGCCGGUGUAGCGAUACAUCGGUGCUUCGAGUGGCGCACGGGUGAGUAACACGUGGGCAACCUGCCCUCGAGACCGGGAUACCCUCUCGAAAGGGAGGCUAAUACCGGAUACGCUCCCCGGGUCGCGAGACCUGGGGAGGAAAGGUGGCGAAAGCUGCCGCUCUUGGAGGGGCUCGCGGCCUAUCAGCUUGUUGGUGAGGUAACGGCUCACCAAGGCGAUGACGGGUAGCUGGUCUGAGAGGACGACCAGCCACACGGGGACUGAGACACGGCCCCGACUCCUACGGGAGGCAGCAGUGGGGAAUUUUCCGCAAUGGGCGAAAGCCUGACGGAGUGACGCCGC
rnacentral:rRNA from 1 species